rnacentral:rRNA from 1 species
UUGAGUGGAUCCUGAGUACGACGGAGCACGUGAAAUUCCGUCGGAAUCUGGGAGGACCAUCUCCUAAGGCUAAAUACUCUCUAGUGACCGAUAGUGAACCAGUACCGUGAGGGAAAGGUGAAAAGCACCCCGGAAGGGGAGUGAAAUAGAACCUGAAACCGUGUGCUUACAAGUAGUCAGAGCCCGUUAAUGGGUGAUGGCGUGCCUUUUGUAGAAUGAACCGGCGAGUUACGAUUUGAUGCAAGGUUAAGCAGUAAAUGUGGAGCCGUAGCGAAAGCGAGUCUGAAUAGGGCGUUUAGUAUUUGGUCGUAGACCCGAAACCAGGUGAUCUACCCUUGGUCAGGUUGAAGUUCAGGUAACACUGAAUGGAGGACCGAACCGACUUACGUUGAAAAGUGAGCGGAUGAACUGAGGGUAGCGGAGAAAUUCCAAUCGAACCUGGAGAUAGCUGGUUCUCUCCGAAAUAGCUUUAGGGCUAGCCUCAAGUGAUGAUUAUUGGAGGUAGAGCACUGUUUGGACGAGGGGCCCCUCUCGGGUUACCGAAUUCAGACAAACUCCGAAUGCCAAUUAAUUUAACUUGGGAGUCAGAACAUGGGUGAUAAGGUCCGUGUUCGAAAGGGAAACAGCCCAGACCACCAGCUAAGGUCCCAAAAUAUAUGUUAAGUGGAAAAGGAUGUGGCGUUGCCCAGACAACUAGGAUGUUGGCUUAGAAGCAGCCAUCAUUUAAAGAGUGCGUAAUAGCUCACUAGUCGAGUGACACUGCGCCGAAAAUGUACCGGGGCUAAACAUAUUACCGAAGCUGUGGAUUGUCCUUUGGACAAUGGUAGGAGAGCGUUCUAAGGGCGUUGAAGCAUGAUCGUAAGGACAUGUGGAGCGCUUAGAAGUGAGAAUGCCGGUGUGAGUAGCGAAAGACGGGUGAGAAUCCCGUCCACCGAUUGACUAAGGUUUCCAGAGGAAGGCUCGUCCGCUCUGGGUUAGUCGGGUCCUAAGCUGAGGCCGACAGGCGUAGGCGAUGGAUAACAGGUUGAUAUUCCUGUACCACCUAUAAUCGUUUUAAUCGAUGGGGGGACGCAGUAGGAUAGGCGAAGCGUGCGAUUGGAUUGCACGUCUAAGCAGUAAGGCUGAGUAUUAGGCAAAUCCGGUACUCGUUAAGGCUGAGCUGUGAUGGGGAGAAGACAUUGUGUCUUCGAGUCGUUGAUUUCACACUGCCGAGAAAAGCCUCUAGAUAGAAAAUAGGUGCCCGUACCGCAAACCGACACAGGUAGUCAAGAUGAGAAUUCUAAGGUGAGCGAGCGAACUCUCGUUAAGGAACUCGGCAAAAUGACCCCGUAACUUCGGGAGAAGGGGUGCUCUUUAGGGUUAACGCCCAGAAGAGCCGCAGUGAAUAGGCCCAAGCGACUGUUUAUCAAAAACACAGGUCUCUGCUAAACCGUAAGGUGAUGUAUAGGGGCUGACGCCUGCCCGGUGCUGGAAGGUUAAGAGGAGUGGUUAGCUUCUGCGAAGCUACGAAUCGAAGCCCCAGUAAACGGCGGCCGUAACUAUAACGGUCCUAAGGUAGCGAAAUUCCUUGUCGGGUAAGUUCCGACCCGCACGAAAGGCGUAACGAUUUGGGCACUGUCUCAACGAGAGACUCGGUGAAAUCAUAGUACCUGUGAAGAUGCAGGUUACCCGCGACAGGACGGAAAGACCCCGUGGAGCUUUACUGUAGCCUGAUAUUGAAAUUCGGCACAGCUUGUACAGGAUAGGUAGGAGCCUUUGAAACGU